rnacentral:lncRNA from 1 species
CAGGAUAUUGUGAUUCAUUAUUCCUCCACCAAUCCAACGUGUUGAUCCGUCUUCUGCGAUCCUCUGACGGUGAUCGAAGAUUAUAAUACUUAAGCUCUUCCCGAUAAGUUGAUGUGUAAACUCCCUCGUCAACACUGUUCUAACAGGGUAAAUCAUAAAAGGAAUCAAGAAAACCACAAUGUGCCAGCCUUUUAGAAAAUGAUGGCACCUCAGGAGGAUAAGGAACGAUAGUUGGACUGAUAUGUGUUGGUACAGCUAAAUCAACUAAAUCAACAUAGUGGUUAUAUAAUUUAUCUAUGUAAGCAUUCACAUCAGACGUAGCCGUCCACAAAUCAGGUUGUACUUGUUCAGAAUCAUUGUUAGUAUUUAUUUCUAAGUUACGAUAAAUAAGAGUACUAAAGUGGCACAUAGUAUGGUAUUUAAUGCAUGGAUUUAGCAUAGCACCAACCAAGAAAAUAGGGGGAAUCGGGAAAAAAUAUUUUUUAAAUUUAGUAAACAUGGCACCAACAACAUUUUUAUAACCUUCUUUAUUUUUAUAUAUUCUUUGAGCAAACCAGAAAUAUCGGUUAUAUAUCCCAAAAUAUUACAAACAGUAGGAUAAUGAGAACCAAAAAAUUCAACUGUAGAUACAUAAAAUUUUUCCAAAAACUUAACAAAAUCAUUAAUUACAACCCAAUUAGAAUCAAGUAGCAGACAAUCGACAGAAUCAACAAAUGAACCACAAUGUUGGUUAAAAGCUAAUGUAAUAGGAACUCUAUAUUUAUAACAAGUUUUUAAAAAAUCAUACGUAGAAUUCCAUCUAAUAUCAAUUUCCUCAGGCAUCAAUAUCGGUGCAAGUCCAUUUUCUUGACAUUUAACUUUAAAUUCUUUAAUUCUCGAUCUACGAUUAUUUCCUUGUAUAAAACCAACAGCAAGACGGAUUUUUUCAAUAUAAAUCUCAAAAAACUCAAGACCAUCUUUUACAAUUAAAUUAUAUAUAUGACAUGCACACUUAAUAUGAAAAAUUUUAGGUAACGGCAGUGAUAACUUAGAUUUCAACUUUGUUAUAGCAAUCUUGUUGUAAGAAGCGUUAUCAAAAGCGAUACAUAAGAUUUUAUUUUCUAUACUAUAAAAUGCUGCAACUUUAUGUAUCGAGUCAGCAAUAAAUUGUCCAGUAUGUUUACGAUUUUCAUCAUAUAAAAAAGCAAGAAUACAUUUUUGCACAAAAUUACUACUAUCCAUCCAGUGAGAAGUAACGGUUAAAUAAUCAUUUUUAUUUACAGUACGACCAAGAUCAGAAUUUAGGGAUAUUCUACAUUGAAUAUUUUUUNNNNNNNNNNNNNNNNNNNNNNNNNNNNNNNNNNNNNNNNNNNNNNNNNNNNNNNNNNNNNNNNNNNNNNNNNNNNNNNNNNNNNNNNNNNNNNNNNNNNNNNNNNNNNNNNNNNNNNNNNNNNNNNNNNNNNNNNNNNNNNNNNNNNNNNNNNNNNNNNNNNNNNNNNNNNNNNNNNNNNNNNNNNNNNNNNNNNNNNNNNNNNNNNNNNNNNNNNNNNNNNNNNNNNNNNNNNNNNNNNNNNNNNNNNNNNNNNNNNNNNNNNNNNNNNNNNNNNNNNNNNNNNNNNNNNNNNNNNNNNNNNNNNNNNNNNNNNNNNNNNNNNNNNNNNNNNNNNNNNNNNNNNNNNNNNNNNNNNNNNNNNNNNNNNNNNNNNNNNNNNNNNNNNNNNNNNNNNNNNNNNNNNNNNNNNNNNNNNNNNNNNNNNNNNNNNNNNNNNNNNNNNNNNNNNNNNNNNNNNNNNNNNNNNNNNNNNNNNNNNNNNNNNNNNNNNNNNNNNNNNNNNNNNNNNNNNNNNNNNNNNNNNNNNNNNNNNNNNNNNNNNNNNNNNNNNNNNNNNNNNNNNNNNNNNNNNNNNNNNNNNNNNNNNNNNNNNNNNNNNNNNNNNNNNNNNNNNNNNNNNNNNNNNNNNNNNNNNNNNNNNNNNNNNNNNNNNNNNNNNNNNNNNNNNNNNNNNNNNNNNNNNNNNNNNNNNNNNNNNNNNNNNNNNNNNNNNNNNNNNNNNNNNNNNNNNNNNNNNNNNNNNNNNNNNNNNNNNNNNNNNNNNNNNNNNNNNNNNNNGGUAUAUCUAGUACUUGAAGUACCUCUACCGCUAGUAAUUCGCUUUUUGCUACCACUACCACUUCUGGGAUAAAUUUUUUUAACACUUUUACCGAGGUUUCUUAAUUUAUCCAUAGUAUAAAUCAAACUAAAAAAUAUUUAAAAUACACAAAAAGUAAUAAAAAUAAAUAUUCAACAAUUAAUACACUAAUUAUAAAUUAAAAGUAAGAGAUGGAACGACAAUACCAAAUUUUGAAAGUAUCCGAAGGUUUUGACUUUAGAAACUUCCACUCGUACUUAGUAAUCGCAAAAUUAAAAAAAUUAAAGUGAGCACUUUAGAAAUUAAAUAUAUAGAAUAUUUGAGAAUUGAGAAAUGAGAUUUGAGAGAGAAUGAGAUUUGAGACUUGAGAGGAUGAAAAAUUGUGUGGAAAACGAUUUGAAAGCGUAGGGUAUUUAUAGAAAUUUUUUUGUGAUUAAAAAAUGAUUUUAAAUAAAAAAAACUUUUUUUUUUAUAUUUGGGCCCAAACUAGCCGUUAUAGCCGUUGGACCAACGGCUAGUUUGGCCCAAUUUUCCAAAAUCUUAAAAAAAAAUAAAAAAUUAAAUGGACUUAUCCGGGCCAGGCCGAGCUAGUUAACUGGCGGGCCCUAACCGAGUUGAGUCCGAUCCGGAUUAACUGGGCCCGAAUUCAAAACCCAACCAGACCGGGACCCGAGCCCUUAAAGCCCUUGGGCUUACCGAGCCGGGUCAAAUCGAUCCGAUUUCCUUUAGUGAACCAGUUCGGGCCGGUUAAAACCGGCCCAUUUGACACUCUUAGUGGUAGAACAAUCAUCAUCCUCAAUACAAUAUAUAUCCUCAAUACAUGUGCUUUGACUAACAUUACUCUUAGGAUAUUGAAUAUUCAACUACUACCCAUCCAAACACUCCUUAAUUCACCCCCUAAUUUGUUUAAGCUCUAAUAUGAUUAUGUGACUUGUUUACACUCCUUCAAAUGCGUAGAAAUCCACACAACAUUUAUUUUUAAUUUAUUUAUUCAUUUUUUAACUACAUCCAAGUGAUGAUCUAUAGCAGUGUACAUAGAUCACCGUGGUCUAUGCAUAAUCAUGAUAUCAAUCGAUACACUACUAAAGGUGUAAGACUACGGUAGACCAGACUAAUCGAUGGCUGACAUAGGUCAUGAUCUACGACGAUCUAUUAAGUGUCACCACCAGUCCAAGAUUAUCUAUGUAAAUCUUUUUUAAUUAAAUUACUUUUUUCUACCAGCCCAAAAACAUGUGAUUAUCUAUUUAAAUUAUUUUUAAUUUAAUUAUUUUCUUCACUAGCCACAAAACAUGUGAUUAUCUAUUUAAAUUUAUUUUUAAUUUAUUUAUUUUCUUCCACCAGCCACAAAACAUGUGAUUAUAUAUUUAAAUCAUUUUUAAUUUAAUUAUUUUCUUUUACCAGCCACAAAACAUGUGAUUAUCUAUUUAAAUUUAUUUUUAAUUUAUUUAUUUUCUUCCACCAGCCACAAAACAUGUGAUUAUAUAUUUAAAUCAUUUUUAAUUUAAUUAUUUUCUUCCACCAGUCACAAAACACUUGAUAAUCUAUUUAAAUCUUCCUUAAUUAAAUUAUUUUAUCCCCCACCAGCCCCAAAACAUGUUAUUAUCUUUUUAUAUCAUUUUUAAUUUUAUUAUUUUACUCCACCAGCCCCAAAACUUGUUAUUAUUGAUUUUAAUUUAACUGAUGGCCCAUCGAUUUGCAUGAUCGACGAUCGACUACUAUGUUAGGUUGAUGAUAGAUUGAGUAUACGAUCGAUGAUCGACUAUAUAUGUUAUCAAUGAUAGACUAUUUAUGUGAUCUGUAUUUACAGAUGCCCCCCAUUCACUAUAGAUGCAAACACCAAAAAUAACAAUAACCAAAAAGAGGGAAACGAAAUUUGAAAAUAGAAAUACUUUGUUCAUUGCAUAAUCAUACGAUUUUUAUAUUUAAAACAUUGACACAUUGGUCAAAACAACCAAAAUAAGCAAAAAAUGAAGAAGCUUUCUGCUAACAACAAUCAUACAACAAAGUUUCGUCUGCAAUGAACACAAAAUAAAAACUUAUAAACAUAAAAAAAAAUAAAAAACUAAAAAAAUAGAUUUCACGGGGAUGUUGGAGGGGCCAUCCAUUCCAAGCCUUUCCAGAAUUGCCCUCAAGAAAUGGGCAAUUCGAUGAAAUUCCCGCUCUAGGUAGAUGCGGUCUUGACCCAGUACAUAGAACAGGCAGUCGAAAUCAUUCCUAAGAAGGAAGAGGUCGUAAUGUCAUGGGGGAACACAUCUGAUGGGGCACAAGGAUAUCCUUCUUGGAGGCAUAUUUUUUAUUUAGGUGAAAAGGAAGAAGAAGAGGGUUUCUGAUAUUUUGGGUUUAGAGACAAGUGAAGGGUUGCGUAGAAAUAGGAACUGUACUUGAUACAAUAAGGACAACGGAAGGAUGAAACACACCCCAAGACAGUCCACAAAUCACAAGAUCCGAGGACCUAUUGGAGACCAACUCUCAGAUUCAACAAAUACAACAAGAAUACAAGAUACAAGAGUGUAUUUUAACACCAAAACAACUACAAAACGUGAUGAACAAGAUGAACAACAAUAAUACAAGUUUUGGAUUCAACGAAGGGCCCAGAAUAGUCCACUACACAACAUAUACACGAUUUGCAAGAAAGUAAAGGAUAGAUAGUGAGACUAAGAUUAUUACAAGAUUAAGAACCAAGUAUAUUUCAACAUUAACCCCUAAUGAAUAUAAUAAUCAAAACCACACUCUUACGGUGACCACCAAGGGAAUCAACACACCCUAAGAUCCACUGUUUCUAAGCAAAGAACAAUGUUAGCUUUUCCAAGCCCUAUACUAAAACUACACUAAGUUGGUCUACUCUCAAGAGAGAGGAUUUUAAGUGUUUCAAUAUUUCAUCUUUCAUAAACUAAAGAGUAAAGACCUAAAAUGUACUACUUAUAGUAUAUUACAAAAGUAGAUAAAAAGACCACAUUACCCUUAAUGACCAAGGUGGCCUUAGUGUGUUGGAAGACAAUAUAAAUUGACCAAAAUGCCCUUAAGGCUAAGAGAUCAAAAUAAACUUAGUAAAGGGAACCAAAAUCGUGAACCAACAAAGGUGGUCCAAACCCGAGAGUCCUUAAGUCUUCAAGGCUCCAAACAAUCUUCCACACUUAGAUUUGAUCAAUGGUAGGUUCAAAACAUCCCUUCCAAUUAUGAUCCUGUUCCCUUCAUGCGACCAAAGCUUGAUUCUUCACAUAGUGACUUUGAAUGAUGUCGUCAAAAGCUAAGGCGGCCAUUAUUCUUCUAUUAGUACUUACAGACCUACAGAUGACAUUCUUUCAUCUAUCCACCCAAUGGUCAAUUGAUGUGUAUGAGAAGAGAAAACGUUUGGUUUACAUAUACCAGUUGCUUUUCUUGUGAACAGAUGUUUUUACAGCUUUUCAUUAAAUGGGAAUGGGAAACAAUGAUUCAUUGCAUCGAUUGGAGAGAUUAUGAAAAAAAUGACCAAGAUAGUGUGUUUGAUAAGCAAUAAUAUAACCAAUACAUAAUAUUUUGUAGACCUUGUUAAAUAUAUACCAUAAACUUUACGUAGUCUAUCGUAGAUAACGCUUUAAGUCGAUUACAACUGCACAUUAAAAUCUAUAGAAAUGCACAUUUAGCCACUAAAACAGUAGCUUUACAACUGAAUCUAAAAAAAAGCCUAUCUAUGAUUUGAUGGCCAUUCUACACGUGGUAUUUUUAUGCCUGAAUUUCUUGCAUAUUGAACAUUUAUUCCUCCUUUUGGACUUGAGUUUCUCAUUGACGCCCUUAGUGCAUUUGAAUUUCUUUCUUUCAAGUUUGGAAUGUAGGAGGUGGAGAAAUUUUAGUGUCUAGCAAUUUCUGUGGCACAGUCCAUUCGGCCUCCAGAGGGACAACGUUAAUUGCUUCUGAGUAUGCGAGGAGGUAACUUUCAACUUUAUAAAUUGGCAAAGAGUACUCGUAGAUGGAGUUACCAUAACUUUCGCCAUCACCAUACUUUGCUCGUAAAGCUGCCAUCGCAUGUUCGUACGGCAUUUUCAACAAGUCAAAUUUCCGACAAGAACAACUUCACUUUAAGAGAUUGACCUUGGCAGUAACGCCGUUGCCGAACACCGUGUAUUGGUCGAGAACCGCAUUUGGAUUACUCACAUACAAGGAAUCACUCGCACUCUUACUAUCCCUUAGGAUCCUUUUCGCAUAAGGCACAAAUUUGUUCUCUUUACCAUCGACAAAGGCAUGCCGCUCCCUAAAAUUUUCACCAAAUUUUCUAGCAAUUGAAUUGAAUAUGUACGACACGGGUUACUCCCGUUCAUCACAUCGUACCUAUUUCCCAGAAAGUGUGCUCUACUCCAUUUUUUAAAACCAUACACAUUUUCAAGGACAUAAGCUGCCUCAGGGCAAUUACUCUUCAAUUAUGCAAAAUUAUCGCUAAACUCAUCAAAGGAAUAAGCCUUUCCCGUGGCGUAGAAUAGAUAAAGUUGUUCUAUGUAGUAUUGAUUUACGCAAACAUUUUCAGUGAAGUGCCUCAUGCAAAGUCUGUGAUGUGCACGACUGUAUACACGAGAAAAGGCAUUGGCAAUGCUAAUGUGCUUGUCGGAGAUGCCACAUAGAUCUGGUUCAUCUUCUACUAUAGACUCAUCUUCUUGAAGAAGAAGGUUCAAGAAGCAUCAUUCUCUUUAUCCACAACACAAAAGACAAUCGAAAAGAUAUAAUUUUCAGCAUCCUAUGCAACGACACUCAGCAAAAUGCCCUCGUACUUACCAUAAAAUAUGUGUCAUCGAUGGCAAUUACCUUUCUCAUGUUGGUAUAUCCCCUAAUGCAAGCUCCGAAUGCUAAGAAGUAGUAAAUGAAUGAUCCAUCCAUCCGGUUUACCAAGAUAGAGUAAGAAGACCCGGGAUUUGAUAACUCCACUAUGUGAGAAAAAGAUGGCAAGCAAGCAUAUCCGUGCUUCGGUGUCCCGCAAAUAAUGUUCUUUGUAAUUACACUUCCUUUCCAACACAUCCAAUAGCUUACAUUGCAACGCAACUCCUUAAAUACAAUCCUUUGAAUUUCUCUUAUGCUUAGACCCUUACCAUCCCGAAAAUGAUUUACACAUACUGAAUAAUCAAUUUAGAUGAGACUUUCUUGUGCCUGUAGGUGGCGUGUUCAACACCGCACGUGCGCAACCCGACAUACUCGUAUAUGCAAAUCUGUCCGAGGUGUCAUACUUUUUUACCCGCAACAACCAGCCACAACCACGAGAUAAAUAUUUUGCCUUAAUCAAUUUCGUGCAUCUCUGAUACAAGAUCAAACAAAAACAAGGAAAUUAAGAGAUCUACAAGACAAUAACACUAGAGAAUCAAAGGCCCCACUCGACUUUUCUAUGUUUUCAAGACAACAACCACAAUAUUCAACAAGAUAAAUAGAGAACACAUGAUUACAAUGACUAUAGUGAAUCAAAAGAUCCCCAUACGGCUUCACUACAUCAACACAAAAAUAACAAGAUUACAACAACAAGAAAGUCACGGGUACAUUAAAAACAAAAAGAAACCAACAGAUACAUCAAGAUACAAGAUAAAUAGUUAGACCAAACGAAGGGACAAUCUUAAGAACCCAAGAAUUGUUACACUCUUGGACCCUUAACACUACCCACGAUACAAAACUAACUCUACGUUGACACAAGAGGGCCUUUACCUCCUCUAAACACCAACGUUUCAAGCCAAUAGGCAAACACAAGUGAAUCUUCACUUGUCUAGCCUUAGUUUUGGUUGGGGUUUCUAAAGAGAGAGGCUAAAAUGUUACAAUGUUUCAAGUCUUGACAAUGAUCAACCAAGUCUCAAAAAUCCUAAGUUGGUCUAUUUAUAUAACAACACAAAAUAAGACAUAAAUGAAAAAAGUGUCCUUUUAAUUAAAAUGCUCCAAUGGGCUGCCCAUGGAGUGCAUCCAUAGGGUGGUUUUGGACUUCAUUAACACUUAAGUUCGGGCCUUCUCUCGGUUGUCAUUGACAUGCUCAAAAUAUGUCCAUCUACGAGGUCAUACUCGUAUCAUCCUCUCCACCUUGAAAAGAUUUUGACCUCAAACUCACAGCUUCAUCAACCUCACGGCUCCCCCAUAGAAUCACCUCCUCAUUUUUUGUCCCAAAGAUUGGAGGCUUAGACAAGGAAUCCUUGAGUUCAUCAAGUAUAUUUUUGUUAGAAAGUUGCUUGGCAUCUCCCCUGGGAAGAAUAAGAUCAUGUACCUGCACACAAGCAAAGGCGGUACUAGGCAAAAUGCUAGUACCUACGUUAGUGAGAAGUAAAGGAUUCCCGAGGGUAAGUCCCAAAAGUGAGGACUCAUUGUCUUUUUGCUCUUUGAUUCCCUAUCCUUCUCCUCUACUCCCACUCUCGGUCCUUCCCUUUCUCUCCUUCUUCCUCUUUUCUUCAAACUCUCUAACUUGUUGACUAACUUCGGCCACUUGUAUCGGUGAGAGAGAGUAGAGUGUAUACCUUCGGCCAUGGUGCUCCAAAGUGUAGCUAUUGGCUCGUCCAUGCACGGUAUAUUUUUCAUAUUUCCAUGGUAUUCCCAAUAAUAGGUGGAACGCUUGCAUAGGAAUAACAUCACACAACACCUCGUCAAAGUAGUUGCCUACCUUGAACUAUAUCACCACUUUUCAGUUCACCUUUAACUUCCCGCACUCAUUUAAACAUCAAAGGUUGUAGGGGCUAGAAUGACGGAUAGUGGGAAGCCACAAAACAUCAACCAAGGUACUUCUAGCAAUAUUGGCACAAUUACCUCCAUCAAUAAGCAUAGAACACACAACCCCCUUAAUAAGGCAUUUGGUGUAAACAAGGUUUUCCCUUUGACUGGGAUCACGCAAAACCUUACUAAUCAUAGCCUUUCUCACUACAAAACAUGGCACUUCAAUCUCACCUUCACACGGCCAAGCAUCCUCCUCCUCUUCUUCCUUUGGUUUUUCGAGUUCUAUCCCCUCUCCACCUUGAGAUUGAUCAUCAAUCUCCUUCAGUUCAAGUCCCACCUCCUCCUCAAGAAAAUAUAAUUUUCCCUCCCUUAAGAUCACAUUCCUCCUAUUUGAACAUUCACUAGCCUUGUGUCUCCAACCUUGGCAUUUAAAACAUUGAAAACCCUUAGAAUUAGGAAAGGAAUACGGUUUAACUUUAUUUCUCGGAGGGUACCUUUGAGGUGUCUUGUUUUUAUCUUGGGAAGCCUUGGCCUCGGGUUGCUCCACUUUGGAAGAAUCAUUCUUGUCAUGGUGCCAACCUGAGAAUGAUUGGACUUUGAACUUGGACCUCGAUUUCUCCCCCAACUCUCUUUCAAUUUCCAAUAUGGCUUGGAAGAUGGCAUCAAGGGUGUCAAACUUGUGAAGUGUCAAACAUGAAGCAAUAUCUCUAUUCAACCCCACCUUGAAUCGGAUGAUGUUGUGACUCACUUGUUCCCCUCUAUGAUCAAGUUUCAAGAUGAGUUGUUGGAACUCAUCGUAGUAAGCCACGACACUUUUGUUUCCUUUCCUCAAGUUAUACAACUUGGCAAGGAGCUCUUGAUAAUAUAUUUCGGGUAGGUACCUUUGUCUCAUAAGGUACCUUAGCCGAAACUAAGGAGGGGGCUGCCCCUCUACUAAACGUUGCCAAAAUGCUUAACAUAUUCCCACCAUGUAGUAGCAUAACCUUCAAAGUGAGCAAUCACGUAGCAACUCUUUUUCUCCUCGGUAAGAUCAUUGACUUGGAAGACCCUCUCACAUGCAGAUUUUCAUGUAAGAAACUCUUCGGGAUCACUCUCACCCUUGAAGAUUGGAAGCCCCAUUUUAAUGGUAUUUAGUCCUACUUCACGGUUUUGGUUCUCUUGUUGGUUCCAAUGACCAACUCUUCCUUCUCAACCAUGAACCUCUCUUGGAUCAACAUGUCUACCCUGUACCUUUUCCCCCUCAUGUAACCAUCAUCAAAAGGCCCAUACCCCUCAUAUUGGAUAGGUCUAUUCAGGUUAAGUAGAGCUUGUAGUUGUGGGUUUGGAUUUGGUGGAUAAUAAGGUCUUUGGCCUAAUGGAAUUUGGUUUGGAGGACUUGGGUUAUGGGGUGAAAUUUAGGUUCUAAGUCCUUCUUGUUAGACUUGGUGAAGUAGUGGUUGGAUUGGCCUCUCAUGUUCUCGGGUGAGGGAGUAUAGUUGAGUUCGGUUUGUUACAUUGGAUGGUUGUCUUGGUGGAUGGAACAUUUGGUGCAAGGUCUCAGGAGUAGUGGUCGGGGAAAUAUUUUGAGGGGUGGAUGUUCGACUUCUUUGACUUUCCACAUGCUCUAAUCUCCUACUAAUUGAUGCCACAUCCGUAUCUAGUUUCUCAAGACCCACAUUCAACUCAGCCACAUCUCGAGACACAGUUUCAAGGUGAGCCAAAAUGAGAUUAAAGGCAUUACUAUCCAUUAUUUGAGCAUUUGAAGCCUUGGGUUCCAUUUUGAUGGUAUUGGGAUUAGUCCUUCAAGUUAUGGUCCAACAAGUCACCAAAUCAAUCCACUAUGUCACACACAACAAUACAUCACAAAACAUACAAAACAAACAAACGUUAGUUCAAACAACCUCACUAUUCUCUCACUCACUUUGUGGCCUCACACUUGAUGUCACAAAUUUUGCAAGUCAUCUUGUAGUUGUGGUGAGUUGAAGAGUAAGUCUACUCCUUAGACGAAAUGAAUUCUUUGUUGGAAGACUCAAGUAAGUGAUGUUAGAACUUGAACCAAGAAGAACUACGAUUAUAAAAAUGACAAAAGGACAAAAGAAACGUAGACACGAACAAUGAAUUCAAAGGACUAAAUGACAAUCUAGUAGGAAUUUACUAGUUUGUUAAUUAGUUCUAGGAUCAACUAAUGAAACAAAGAAUCAACAAUAAGAAACUAGAAAAAUCCAAAUUUGAGCUUAAUUAUUGAUGUGAAUAGUAGAAAGUGGUGAUGUAGUAGCAUGGAAUUUGUCUCGGGCCCACACAACUUAGUCAUAAAUUUGAAAUUUUCAACCUUCACACAAUUUAGAAUGAAAGACAAUUGGUUUUGAGGGGGGGGGAGUAUAAGUCUUGAGUCUUUUAAGUUAUUCUCAAAAAGAUGAUCUUGACUUGUACUAGUUCCACCAAACAAGGCUCCUUGAUUUAGGGAUAGUAAUUGAAAAAGUGGAUGUCAAGUCUAGAAAGUGAUGAUUCAAGUCUUCUCACAAACAACUUUACAACUUUUAUCUUCACCCCUUUUGAAUCUAUUUUCACCUUUUGUUAGUUAUAUUGUAAGACUAGGUGAAGAACAAGAUGAACAUACAACAACUUCAAGAACAACACCAACAACAACAAUGUUCCACUCCAAGUCUACAACAAUAUCACCAUUCGUCCAAUCUUGGAAGUUCACAAUAACAAUGUCAUCUUUUAAGCUCAAACUUUAGAUUUAGACACUUGUAGUGUUGGUGGGGAAGAAACCAACACUUGAAACACUCUAAAUAAACAAAAUGACUAGCAAAUCUAGCCACAAAAACACCAAUCUCGGCCAAGACAACAACACAACAGUAAUUUCUCGACCAAGAACAAGAUGGAUAGAUUUCUUUUUUUUUUUUUGGAAUUUUCAGAUUUUAACAAUUUUUUUUUCUUAGGAAGAAAGCCCAAGAUUGGUAUUGUAAGAACAAAAUCAAAGAUGACUUUGAUACCAAAUGAUACAAGAUCAAACACAAAAAAGGAAAUCAAGAGAGCUACAAGACAAUAACACUAGAGAAUCAAAGGCCCCACUCAGCUUUUCUAUGUUUUCAAGACAACAACCACAAUAUUCAACAAAAUAAAUAAAGAACACAUGAUUACAAUGAAUAUAGUGAAUCAAAAGAUCCCCAUAUGGAUUCACUAAAUCAACAUAUAAACAAUAAGAUUACAACAACAAGAAAGUCACGGGUACAUUAACAACAAAAAAGGAACCAACAGAUACAUCAAGAUACAAGAUAAAUAGUUAGACCAAAUGAAGGGACAAUCUUAAGAACCCAAGAAUUGUUACACUCUUGGACCCUUAACACUACCCACGAUACAAACCUAACUCUACGUUGGCACAAGAGGGCCUUUACCUCCUCUAAACACCAAUGUUUCAAGCCAAUAUGCAAACACAAGUGAAUCUUCACUUGUCUAGCCCUAGUUUUGGUUGGGGCUUCUAAAGAGAGAGGCUAAAAUGUUACAAUGUUUCAAGUCUUGACAAUGAUCAACCAAGUCUCAAAAAUCCUAAGUUGUUCUAUUUAUAUUACAACACAAAAUAAACAUAAAUGAUAAAAGUGCCCUUUUAAUUAAAAUGCUCCAAUGGGCUGCCCAUGGAGUGCAUACAUAGGGUGGUUUUGGACUUCAUUAACACUUAAGUUCAGGCCUUCUCUCGGUUGUCUUUGACAUGCUCAAAAUAUGUCCAUCUACGAGGUCGUACUCGUAUCAAGAUCUUCUUCAUAUAAUAAUGAAAUGACUGCCUCGCCGUUGCUAUGUCUAGUAGCAUUUUCAGCUCUUUCUUAUCGGCGAAUGUUUGACCACAACAGAAAUUGGUUUCAUCGGUGAAGGAGUAUCCUAGUUGUGAUCCCGUUCCACUGUCUUCUUUAUCAUCUUGCGAGUUCGAUGAAAAGUCUUCCAUAUGUAUAGAAUCAUCUUCCAUAUUAAUUUGAUGAUCGCCAUCGUUCUCGUAAUCAUUAAAUUUGUCGUCGAUCAAAUCAUCGUCGACUAUCGGACGCCGCAGUGGGGGUGCUGAUGAAUUCAGUGGUCCUUCAAAGGACCUCUUAACCACAUUUAUCCUCAAAAUAGGCCUAAAGCCAUCAGCAUCAGCAUCCAUUAUGUACGUCAGCAUACGUACAUCGCUAUUUAUGAUCGUAGGAUUCACCUUUUUUCUCGAAUGAAUUAGAUAACUAAUCACCACAUCGCUCAACGCACAAUCUAGAUCCGUGCUCUACAUAACGCUUGCAAAGAAUUCAUUGUACGAACUGUUGCGGCGAACAGGAACGAGAAUUGUCACCUUGGUAAAUGAUCUUCAUUUCCAACAUUUGAGAGUCUCCACCCAUUCUCCCAUGAAAUCACCAGAAACCAGAAUAAAUUCUGCAAUAGACAUCCUAGAAUUAAGCUUUGCUCGAUGAUAGAUUAUGCUUAGGGUCUAUGUCGGGAUGUAUGCACGGUCGAUGACUGACGAUGACGAGUCGAUGGCUACGCAGAUAUCCAUACAAAAACUUAAAAUUGCAAAUAUUGCUUCUAAUCAAUAAUUGUUGUGUUUAUGGAAUAGAGAAAUGAACUUGGAGUCGCCUGUAAUGCACUUGCUAAAGUGGUUUUGAGUAAUGUGAGUGAUUUAAAGCUUUUUAAUAAUGGUGGAAAGUGUUUGAGAAGAUAGGAAACAAAUGGGGUAACAAUGGAUGCAAUGGACAAACUUAUGAUGUUUGUAGACUAAUUUACAGGUGAUCGCUGAAAAAUAAUGCCGAAAAAGUGGCCGAAAUUGGAGCUUUUUGAAGGAAAAAAUAACCACAUUUUAUUUUUAGCUUUUGAAAAAAAAAUUAAAUAUUUUUGGAAAACCUAGAUAUUUUUGUAUAUAUAAUGAUGGGUGAUGAAGUGGGUUGAAGUGAAUUAUUAAAAACUUAUGGGUGAAUUUAUUAAGUUGGAAGUUGAUACGGGAAUAAUCACGGAUAUGAACUUAGGAGAGUGCGUGUUGGACCCAAGACUUGGCACGUGCAAUUGAAGUGUAAAAGAGGCCCAAAAUGCACCCAAAUCAGCCUAUAAAUUACACUAGAUGGGUGCCUACUCUUUGAAGGACCUUUUGGUCAUUUUAACUUAUAUUUUGUUAUAGCUAUAAAAGGAACAUUGUAGGGUUUUUAGUUUAGUUUUUAGAUGAUAUUUGUGAUUCUUGUAAGACUUGUAACAAGCUCUCUCUCUAGUGAGAAGAGUGACCACCAAAACUAGGAUACAACAAUAGGGUGGAUUCUCUUUUGUUGUUGCUUGCUUGGAAGCGUUGAUGAUAGAGAGGUGGAAUCCAAUCUUGUGUCACGUAAGAGAUACGUUUAUUGUUGUGUGUAGUGUUAAGGGUUCAAGAGUGUCCAUUCUUGGGUUCUUAAGAUUAUAACUUCAUGUGGUCUAUCUAUCUAUCCUUUUACCUUCUUGUAAUCUUGUUUAGUGUUUGUGUUGUAAUCUUGUGUUCUUAUUGUUAUUGUUAAAUCUGAAUCUUGUUCAUCAUAUUAUGUUGUUAAUCUAGUUUGUUGUUUGCUGAUUUGGUGUAAUAAACACCUUGCUAUCUUCUUGUUAUUGUGUUCUUGGAAAGCCGAGACUUGGUCCCCAAAAGGGUUCAUGGAUUUCUUCCAUUUUGUGGACUGUUUUUUGGACUGAUUUUAGUGUUUCCUUGUUUGUCCCAUAUCAGAAGUAUUGAGUUAAGGUGAAUUAUUAUAAAAGUUGUGGCUGAAAUUGUUAAGUUGGAAAAGUGGUGGUGAGGUGGAAUUAAGUGGGUAUACGACCAAUUUUUUCAAACUUUUGGAUAUUUGGCAAAAUAGUUUUGAAAAAGAGUUCUUUUGACAUACUUGCCCUGGAAGGUGGUUUGAGAAAUUUUUUUUUUUCAAUUAAGUGAUGUUUUGAAAAGAAAUUAUUUAUUUACAGAAUCGUUAUUUGGAAUUGAAUUUUGAUGUUCCAAGUUAGCUUAUUUUGGAUAUCCCGAUAAAAAGGGAAUUGACUCUUUAAUAUUGGUUUGCGUUUGGACACCCAGUAAAAAGGAAAUUGACUCUUUAAUAUUGAUUUGUAAACUAGAAAUUAGGAUAAAGAAUUUUGUUGGUUGAGUGGCCACGAACGCUUUAUUGGCUUAAAUUACUUAUUGGAUAACUUAGGUUCAUUAUAUGUGUAAAUAACAUAAAUAUCAACCUUGGAUUUUUGUAAUAUAUUUAGGGAGUUGGGAUUUUUUGUAAUAUUGAAAACAUAAGUUGUGUAUUUGUGUAAUUUUUAGUUAUUAUAUUUCGAGUGAGGAGCGUAGCCAGCCUUGUAACUGUAGAAGUUAACCAAGAAGCGUAACCGCAGACAUUAACCUCGAUACAUUAAUUAAAGAUUUUGCAUGAUUUUUUGACUUCUUUCUGAAGUUUUCAUCUCUAAGUGAGAGAAAUUUAACACCGCUAAAGGAGAACCAAAGCUGAAAGAUGCACCUCAUAAAAAGUUCUAAAGAGUUAAAUUAAACUAUCUUAAGCAUCCACUACUUGGUCUGUUCUUGUAAAUUCGAUUUUAUAGCUGUGAUUUUGGUAUUAGAUACAUGCUGUAUUUGUACAGAAAGCAAGCAAUGGGGCAUGGGUUGACAUAUAUAUGUUUCACAAAGCAAUUCCUCCUUCACAUGUGUUGUAAUUGAUACAAACAAUUAAAAUUAAUCAAGUAAAAGAAAGAUCAGCCAAAUACACAUAUCAAUUAAUUUUACAACAUAUAAAACAUUUGAGCCGACGUAAUCCCAUAUUAUAUAAGGUUCUGCUUUGAAUUUAAUGAUGCUAAAAUCUGAUCAACAUCGAAAAUAUUAACAGCUUAAACACAUAUGAAUUUGAACAACUUCACAAUAUUAUAUUGAAAUCAAGUUUCAUAUAAUUGCUAAACUAAGUUAGAGAGAAAGAUUGAGAGUUACCUAUUACGAAAAUAAUUUUCAAUAACUUCAAAGCUACAAACUCGAAAUCAUGAACCAAAACCUCAAAAAAUGACUAAUUUUCUUUCGUUCUCUCCGCCUCUUUUCUUUU